rnacentral:lncRNA from 1 species
UGAAGAUGUUCUCAGAUGCAGCAGAUUUGACCAGAGUCCCUUACGACAGAACAGGAGAAUGCCCACAGACUAAUUGUGGAAUUCAGCAUUUGCACAUAGAGCACUACUGUGGUGUCUCAGGAAUGCCUCCUUCAGUGAGAACAGAGAUUGUUGUUCUUUGCCUGGAAUAUAAUUUACUGAAAAAAUCCCAACUGUUUGGCUUCAUCUGGAAUCACUUCAGAGCUGUGAAGAAAGUGUAACAACACACAGAAAGUAAAACUGCUGUCAGUGCCAGUCUGUGAAGAAGUGUUUGCUGAAAAAUUAUUCUAUCUCAAGGUCACUGGCACUUAAAGAGUAUCAGGAAGUUCCAUGACUUUGAAAAAUAAAUAAUUUUUGUCUGGAGUUCUUGGCUGGUGU